rnacentral:snRNA from 1 species
GGAUGUGAGGGUGAUCUGGCUGCUACCUCUGUCACCCCAUUGAUUGCCAGGGUUGAUUCAACUGAUCUGGCUGGAUAAGCAGGUGUCCUCUUCCUCCCUCACCGCUCCACGUGUGUUUCCCCUUAAGCUGUGCACUCAGUAGAAAAGGACGACCUUCCCCAAUACAGGCAGUACUGUUCAUGUCACGGGUAUGUGGUAGCUUCUCUCCCCUGCUAGAACCUCCAAACAAGCUCAAGGUCUAGUUGUAGGAGAACNUAGGGUAGUCAAUCUUCCAAGACUGUAGACCCAUCCAAGUGAGGUAACGCAAGUUGCAGUUUGCCAUUCUUU